AGCGAACGCUGGCGGCAGGCCUAACACAUGCAAGUCGAGCGCCCAGCAAUGGGAGCGGCAGACGGGAUAGUAACACGUGGGAACGUACCCUUCAGUUCGGAACAACCCAGGGAAACUUGGGCUAAUACCCGGAUACUUCCGUAAGGAGAAAGAUUUAUCGCUGAAGGAUCGGCCCGCGUCUGAUUAGCUAGUUGGUGAGGUAAUGGCUCACCAAGGCGACGAUCAGUAGCUGGUCUGAGAGGAUGAUCAGCAUCACUGGGACUGAGACAC
rnacentral:rRNA from 1 species